CAAGAUGGCGGCGCGCGCUGUGUGUGUGGCUGUGUGCCGGCGCCUGCAGCAGGAACUGAGGAAUUCAUCUAUAAAUGGUUCGAAGUGCAGGACAAGCACACCCGGUGGCCUCCUGCUCGCCAGUGUGAAGUGGGUGCCAUUGUCAAACCUGCACAUGGAUGUCCCAAAGGUUACCAGACCGAUGAUAACCACUUCCGAUGAGCCAGACACGUUGUACAAACGCCUGUCCAUUUUAGUGAAGGCCCAUGACAAGGCUGUAUUAGACAGUUAUGAGUACUUUGCCGUGCUUGCUGCUAAAGAACUUGGCAUUUCUAUUAAAGUACACGAACCUCCAAGAAAAAUAUAGCGCUUCACUCUUCUCAAGUCGGUGCACAUCUUCAAGAAGCACAGAGUCCAGUAUGAGAUGAGGACGCUCUACAGAUGUUUGGAGUUAAAACAUUUGAUGGGAUGCACAGCCAAUGUCUACCUGGAGUAUAUCCAGUGAAACUUACCUGAAGGGGUGGCCAUGGAAGUUACAAAGACACAGAUACAGCAGUUGCCAGAACACAUCAAGGAGCCGAUGUGGGAAACAAUUCCAGAGGAGAAAGAAGAAAGCAAGCCAUAAGCCUCAGGGCCAGCGGCUUUGCCAGGAUCUGAACUGAGCAUGUGCUCCAUGGAGAGCGCCCCAGCCGAGGGGCGUCAGGGCCGCCUGCCCUUGCUCUGUUGGGGCCUCACGCCCGGGCAGCCAGGCAGGAGCAGGCUGGGUUUCAGGAAGAGCCACUGUAUCAAGUUCUUUACCCCAGACUGUGCUUGUGCUCUGAUUUGAACAAAUAUUAGCCAACUUCUGUAUAACCCAGAACAAAAGAACCAGACUUAAACACUGUGUACCACUGCUGACUUCUUGUUAGCUUGUGCUAAUUUUAUUUUAUUUUGUUUUUAUUUAUUUAUCCAUCCAUCCAUUCAUUUUUAUUUCUGGAACUCAGAGAGAUCUACCUGCCUCUGCCUCCCAAAUGCUGGAUUAAAAGUGU